AUUGAACGCUGGCGGCAGGCCUAACACAUGCAAGUCGAGCGGAUGAAGGGAGCUUGCUCCUGGAUUCCGCGGCGGACGGGUGAGUAAUGCCUAGGAAUCUGCCUGGUAGUGGGGGAUAACGUCCGGAAACGGGCGCUAAUACCGCAUACGUCCUGAGGGAGAAAGUGGGGGAUCUUCGGACCUCACGCUAUCUGAUGAGCCUAGGUCGGAUUAGCUAGUUGGUGGGGUAAAGGCCUACCAAGGCGACGAUCCGUAACUGGUCUGAGAGGAUGAUCGGUCACACUGGAACUGAGACACGGUCCAGACUCCUACGGGAGGCAGCAGUAGGGAAUAUUCGACAAUGGGCGAAAGCCUGAUCCAGCAAUGCCGCGUGUGUGAAGAAGGUCUUCGGAUUGUAAAGCACUUUAAGUUGGGAGGAAGGGCAGUAAGUUAAUACCUUGCUGUUUUGACGUUACCAACAGAAUAAGCACCGGCUAACUUCGUG
rnacentral:rRNA from 1 species